GAACAAGGAUGUGUUUAGCAACCUUGACACCACCAAGAGGAGGACUUUACAGGAAUUUGAGGAUCUAGACUACCAAGAUUGUAAUGGGGGCUUAGAGGAACGAUAAGAAAAUCGAAUCCCUUAUCUGCCAAAAGGCUAGAGCAAGUUUGUUUAAGAAUGGGGACUCUUGUACUAGAUUCUUGCACUCGACUCUGAGGUGGAGAAGGCUCAAGAACGAAG
rnacentral:lncRNA from 1 species